AGAUUGAACGCUGGCGGCAGGCCUAACACAUGCAAGUCGAGCGGUAGAGAGGUGCUUGCACCUCUUGAGAGCGGCGGACGGGUGAGUAAUGCCUAGGAAUCUGCCUAGUGGUGGGGGAUAACGUUCGGAAACGGACGCUAAUACCGCAUACGUCCUACGGGAGAAAGCGGGGGACCUUCGGGCCUCGCGCCAUUAGAUGAGCCUAGGUCGGAUUAGCUAGUUGGUGAGGUAAUGGCUCACCAAGGCGACGAUCCGUAACUGGUCUGAGAGGAUGAUCAGUCACACUGGAACUGAGACGCGGUCCAGACUCCUACGGGAGGCAGCAGUGGGGAAUAUUGGACAAUGGGACGAAAGCCUGAUCCAGCCAUGCCGCGUGUGUGAAGGAAGGUCUUCGGAUUGUAAAGGCUACUUUAAGGUUGGGAGGAAGGCUAAUUAACCUAAUACGUUAAGUGUUUUGACGUUACCGACUAGAAUAAGCACCGCUAACUCUGUGCAGCAGCCGUACG
rnacentral:rRNA from 1 species